GCUCAGGACGAACGCGGGCGGCGUGCCUAAUACAUGCAAGUCGAACGCUUUUUCUUUCACCGGAGCUUGCUCCACCGAAAGAAAAAGAGUGGCGAACGGGUGAGUAACACGUGGGUAACCUGCCCAUCAGAAGGGGAUAACACUUGGAAACAGGUGCUAAUACCGUAUAACACUAUUUUCCGCAUGGAAGAAAGUUGAAAGGCGCUUUUGUGUCACUGAUGGAUGGACCCGCGGUGCAUUAGCUAGUUGGUGAGGUAACGGCUCACCAAGGCCACGAUGCAUAGCCGACCUGAGAGGGUGAUCGGCCACACUGGGACUGAGACACGGCCCAGACUCCUACGGGAGGCAGCAGUAGGGAAUCUUCGGCAAUGGACGAAAGUCUGACCGAGCAACGCCGCGUGAGUGAAGAAGGUUUUCGGAUCGUAAAACUCUGUUGUUAGAGAAGAACAAGGAUGAGAGUAGAACGUUCAUCCCUUGACGGUAUCUAACCAGAAAGCCACGGCUAACUACGUGCCAGCAGCCGCGGUAAUACGUAGGUGGCAAGCGUUGUCCGGAUUUAUUGGGCGUAAAGCGAGCGCAGGCGGUUUCUUAAGUCUGAUGUGAAAGCCCCCGGCUCAACCGGGGAGGGUCAUUGGAAACUGGGAGACUUGAGUGCAGAAGAGGAGAGUGGAAUUCCAUGUGUAGCGGUGAAAUGCGUAGAUAUAUGGAGGAACACCAGUGGCGAAGGCGGCUCUCUGGUCUGUAACUGACGCUGAGGCUCGAAAGCGUGGGGAGCGAACAGGAUUAGAUACCCUGGUAGUCCACGCCGUAAACGAUGGAGUGCUAAGUGUU
rnacentral:rRNA from 1 species